rnacentral:rRNA from 1 species
GCCACUAACGAAGCAGAGAUGCAUUAGGUGCCCGUAAGGGAAAGUGGACACAGGUGCUGCAUGGCUGUCGUCAGCUCGUGUCGUGAGAUGUUGGGUUAAGUCCCGNAACGAGCGCAACCCUUGCCAUUAAUUGCCAUCAUUUAGUUGGGCACUUUAAUGGGACUGCCGGUGACAAACCGGAGGAAGGUGGGGAUGACGUCAAGUCCUCAUGGCCCUUAUGGCCAGGGCUUCACACGUAAUACAAUGGUCGGUACAGAGAGUUGCCAAGCCGCGAGGUGGAGCUAAUCUCAGAAAGCCGAUCGUAGUCCGGAUUGUUCUCUGCAACUCGAGAGCAUGAAGUCGGAAUCGCUAGUAAUCGCGGAUCAGCAUGUCGCGGUGAAUACGUUCCCGGGCCUUGUACACACCGCCCGUCACACCAUGGGAGUGGGUUUUACCAGAAGUAGUUAGUCUAACCGCAAGGGGGACGAUUACCACGGUAGUAUUCAUGACUGGGGUGAAGUCGUAACAAGGUAGGCGUAGUGCU